GUGCUCACUUCAGCAGCACAUGCACUAAAAUUGGAAUGAUAUGAAGAAAUUAGCAUGGCCCCUGUGCAAGGAUGGCACGCAAAUUUGUGAAGCAUUCCAUAUUCUU